GGAAACAAUUAGCCUGGGCCCUUAAACGUGUGGAGGCGGGGCUGGCGGCAGGCCCCAGUUCCUCCCUUGAUUAAAAUAGACCAAGCUGGGCUCAAGUGGCUCAGUUCAUCCAGCCUUCACCUUUAGGGGCCACCCACGCCUCCUCCCAAGAUGACUGCCAAGCCCUUUCCUCUGAAUUCCUCAUGGAGUGCCUGGCUUUCUUUUCAAGAGGAACAGCCCUUCUGCCUCUGAAGUGGGGCCCAGAGACCCAGGAUGCUGUGCAGAUCAGUUGGAGAGAGGCUUGAACUAGCAGACUUCCACCUCCCCAACCCCAGGAGCUGUCAACCUCAUCGGUGGCCCAGCCGUCUCAGAGAGGAGGGAGAUUAGCCAAGGAAGGAGGGAACAACCCAGACCCUUGGCCUUUGCCUCCUACUCCCUCACCCCGCCCCCACCCCUGCAUCCCAAAGG
ensembl:lncRNA